rnacentral:lncRNA from 1 species
CGCAUUUCUUGCACAACCAUUCGUGGUUGGGCUUCAUACGUCGUGAUGCAUAUAUGCCUCCUGUUUUCACGUACCUGUCCGAGCAUCAGUUUGGAACUGUGAACUUUUAGUCUUUUUUUCAUAAUCUGAACUUGUUUUCCAGAAGUGGCCAGAACUAAAUAUUUGUGCCAGAUGAAGCAAGGAAAUUUCUCUCAGGUAUCCGUACAUUUACAUGUACAUGUAGCUCGAGACUUCAAGCCUGAAGGUGCCUUGCCCUCUGCAGGCCACCUGUUAAUCUGUUGCAAGUCAACAUGAUAUGACUACAGAGGUUCGAACAUUCAAAAGUUCAAUAGUCAACAGAUGCUGCAGAAAGCCAAAUAGAUCGGCAAGGCAGCACACAAUUAUCAUGGAGGAUAGAAAGAUUAUUGCAACCCUAACCCGUGUGAUCCUUGAAUAUCCACCAUGAGACGGUGAAUUUUUGGAGAGGAUAGAUUAACCCCAGACCCUGCCAAAUCCAGAUUGAAGCUGAGGAAAGUAGUUAUUCAGGUGCACCAGACAUCCUAAUCCACAGACGUUCACAUUGUUCAGCUUGAUCUCUUAAGCUGUAGUCUUUCCUACAAACCAAAACGUUUCCACCGUAGAGGCUUCUGGUCUCAAUGAUGGUACAACUUCCUUGGAUGUCUGAGCCAAGUUACAGUUUUACAUGACAAUGAAACUUAGGUGAUAUUCCUUGCUUAUCAAAAAACUUGUUGCUUCAGCAACAAAGAUUGUUUUACUCCGUAUCCAAUUCUCAAAAAUCUUAUUGCACCUGAUCUACGGACUAAUCUUCCAUACCACAUCCAAAAUUGCCCUACCCUGGAACAGGUUAAACCUUUACUCAAAAGAUACCUGUUCACUUUCUGAGCUUGUAGAAACUUCACUGUAUUAUGCAUUUUAUCAGAAUUUAUCAGUUCAUGAUCAUUGCUAUAUAAAUCAGACAUUCAGUAAAUUUAUUUUGUUAAUGUUAAUUUCAGUUUCCAUUUGCUAA